rnacentral:rRNA from 1 species
CAGCAGCCGCGGUAAUACGAAGGGGGCUAGCGUUGUUCGGAAUUACUGGGCGUAAAGCGCGCGUAGGCGGUUACUCAAGUCAGGGGUGAAAUCCCAGAGCUCAACCCUGGAACUGCCUUUGAUACUGUCGAUCUGGAGUAUGGAAGAGGUGAGUGGAAUUCCGAGUGUAGAGGUGAAAUUCGUAGAUAUUCGGAGGAACACCAGUGGCGAAGGCGGCUCACUGGUCCAUUACUGACGCUGAGGUGCGAAAGCGUGGGGAGCAAACAGGAUUAGAUACCCCCGUAGUCCCUGUCUCUUAUAC